UUUCCGUGGAGACAGCGGGGCCUACCGGGCCAUGGAGCCGCGACUGGUGGGCCCCGGGCCCUACCGGGCAACCCGGCUGGUAAGUGCCCGGCCGGGUCCCGCAGCGUCUGGUCGUGCCAGGGCAUCGAGCUCGGCACAGCCCCCCUCGCAGUGGAAUGAGACCAUUGAACUCUUUCGUGAAGGGAUGCCAUUACGGAGGCAUCGUAGUCUUUUCAAAAACUAUGAGUGUUGCUUCAAAGCCUCAGAGGCAGUAGACUGGUUACAUGAGCUGCUCAGAUGUAACCAAAACUUUGGCCCAGAAGUGACACGUAAUCAAACAAUUCAGCUGCUUAAAAAAUUUCUGAAAAAUCAUGUUAUUGAAGAUAUCAAAGGACGAUGGGGCAAGGAAGACUUUGAGGACGACAGUCAUUUAUAUAGGUUUCCUCCUUCUUCACCACUGAAACCAUAUCCAACAAGGCCUCCAUAUAGAAAGGAAGUAAUUAAAAUUCCAGACUGGAAUGUUCCUGAAGCAGGCACUUCCCAAGAACACAUCCCAGUGAAGCCUCUCAUGAUGAAUUCUGAAAUGUGGUUCAAACGUCACAGUAUAGCAAUAGGAGAAGUACCAGCUUGCAGACUUGUGCACCGCCAAGAAUUAACACAGGCAAAUAUAGAAGAGAUAUGGAAAUCCAUGAUGCUAUCACAUUUGCAAAAAGUUUUGGGCCUGGAUUCUGUGGAUGAAGUAUUGGAUACAAAACUUGUGAACCCAAAGCAUAUAAUCCACAAUGUGUACAAUGUCAAUAAACAGGGCAUCGUCAUUUUGGAAGACAAAACAAAAGAGCUACCUCAUUGGGUACUGUCAGCAAUGAAGUGUCUAGCAAAUUGGCCCAGUUGUUCAGAUUUGAAGCAACCUACAUACAUUGGAUUUGAAAGAGAUGUCUUCAAAACGAUAGCAGACUACUAUGGCCAGAUGAAGGAACCUCUACUCACAUUUCAUCUUUUUGAUGUUUUCGUCAGUGUGUUAGGUCUGCUGCAGAAAAACAAAAAGGCCAUUGAAGCACUUCGGGUUUCCUGUCUUCUGCUGCCUCCGGAAAAUCGGAAAAAGCUGCAAUUACUGAUGAAGAUGAUGGCAAGGAUUAGCCUCAACAAAGAUCUACCACCUCUUUGUGACACAGCUGGGACCAGAACACUGAUGGUUCAAGCGUUUUCUCAUUGCAUCCUCUGCUCUAGAGAUGAAGUGGAUUUGGAUGAACUGCUUGCUGCUAAACUAGUAACAUUCCUGAUGGACAAUUGUCAAGAGAUCUUGAAUGUUCCUUCCUCCUUACAGACUGUCAUAGAGGAGCAUGUAGUACAUCUCCGAAGAGUCCAGAUAAAAUAUGCAGACACUGAUACUGAUACAACUCUUCCUGCUCCAUCAUUUUGUCGCCAAAUCAGUACAGAUGAAUUUGAAUACCAAAGAGUAAAUGGCUCUCAAGAACCACUGGCAGCUCUGUUGGAAGAAAUUACAAUGAAUAAAGAAAUAUCUGUCAAAGACAAGAAGAAGAAGCUGAAGCAGUUUCAGAAAUCCUACCCUGAAGUGUAUAAAGAACGAUUUCCUACUCCUGAAAGCGAGGCAGUGCUGUUUCCGGAAAAAAAUAAACAGAAACCACAACUGCUGAUGUGGGCAUUGAAAAAGCCUUUUCAACCAUUUCAAAGAACCAGAAGUUUUCGAAUGUAACAUUUCCAGAGUCAUUAGUGAACUGUAUCUCAGUAUAUUAGUGAUAGGAUAGAUCUUGUGCAAAUGGAACCUAAACAGCAUUUAACUACUGGAAAAACUUUAACUACUGAAACAGCGGGAAAAGGUUGUAAUGGCAAAACAUUUUGGAGGGGAUGUUAUAUUGAACCAUUAUCAGUAUUUUUGUCAUUGGCUAUUUUUAAUGAUUUUGUUAUUUUUAAGUACAAGAUGGGUAAUCAUUCAUAAUGAUUGAUACGGAAAAAAUUCUUUGCUUUCAUACUUCUAGUUGUCAUUUCAAGUCUUAGAUGUAUUUUUAUGUGUAUAUUUCACUGUCUUGUUUGUCACUGGUCAACAGCAUUUUUUCUGAAAAGGAGUAUUAUAUUUGUUUAUAGCUGGCAUGCCGGAGGGAUUAAAACAUUGUACAUACUUGAAUGAACUUGAAACACUGGAUCUUGUACUGAAUUGCUGACUCUGUCUCAGGAACUGAAACAACCACUCAGCUGACUUCCAAAGAGAUAGGAAGAUUUUUAUCAUGAAAAGGCAUGGUCACACAUGGAGGAGAAAGGCCAGGAUAAGAGAAGAAUGGAAGACAUGUUAUGAUUGGCACAAUCUAUAUGAGGGCUGAAGGCCCGAUCAAUCAAGGUUAUUUAGAGAGUGGACUUUCCCUGUCUGAAACAAAAAUGUAUCAAUUUUAGCUGUAGUUAAUCUCGUUUUACUAUUCAAGCAUCUUGGAGUAAUUUCUUCUCCUUCCCCAUAAACUUGGACAGAUUAACAUGUAACGUUUUUAAUUUGCCAUAUUCUCUAAAGCUUACAUGCAAAUGAUGAACUUGGAAGAUACAACUAUAGUCUUCUAUAAAAUUUCCAUUGGUCUGUUCUUCCCUCUUCAAAUACUGAGUAAUCCACUAAGUAUAAGGCCCAAGCCCAGGUGAUUAUUCCACUUAUCCAGUUGGACAGAAUACUUUUCAGGGAUAGUAGAAACACAUUAUAAGGGUUUGUGGGUAACCUUGGCGGAGCAGAAAUCAUUCCAUAUGUAAUGUAGAUGCCUUAUUCCCUUGGCAGCAGGGAUAGCUCUGUGCCAUUGUCCUAUGGGUUUUCUUAUAGAGCUGUGUAUUGCCCUGAUUUUCCCCUUGGCAUGAGCAGUCAGCCAAUAUUGAGGGCCUGUCAGGUUGUUUCCAUUAGAAAAAGAAAAUGAGGUUAAACUUUAUAUAGCUUAAACUUCAGCUCAUGCUUUGCUAUGGUGGCCAGUACCGUGGCACGGUGGUUUCUGUUUCAUUUAUCCCUGUACAAAGGAACAUGUACUAGUUCUUUCAUUUAUCCUGAAUGCAGAGUGCUAUUAUUUGAGAGGUAUGAUGGACACAAAGAAUAUUCAAAGACAAUUUCAUCUACUUGGUAAAUGUUAUAUGCCUCUUUAUGGGCUAAGGGAUUGUGUUAUGGUUCCACAGGAAAGUUUUAUGGGUUUCCUGCAGGAACUAAAAUCACUGGAGGCAAUUAAUGCAAAUCUGUAGACUGGUAGCAAGCCUGGAGAAGCCUCUCACCUUAGGGAAAAUUGCACAGAGAGGUAUGAUGUGGUUUAAAAAAGCAUAGCAAACAAAGAACUAAGAAUCGUAUGAUGUGACCAGCCUGCCAGAGGAAGGGAGGUUACUCUCACCUAAUUCACAAACUGACAUGAGACUGUGAUCCAGAGGGACUUAGCCUGCAAGACAACCUGAAAUACUUUUAAGCCUGCCUCUCUAUCCAUGAAAGAUGAUUGCCUGUUAAAUAAGACCU